rnacentral:rRNA from 1 species
AGUGAACGCUGGCGGCGUGCCUAAUACAUGCAAGUCGAACGAUGAAGUCCUAGCUUGCUCGGCUGGAUUAGUGGCGCACGGGUGAGUAAUAUAUAGUUAAUCUGCCCUACACAGAGGAACAACAGUUGGAAACGACUGCUAAUACCUCAUACUCCUAUUUGACCUAAGUUAAAUAGGGAAAGUCUUUUCGGUGUAGGAUGAGACUAUAUCGUAUCAGCUAGUUGGUAAGGUAAUGGCUUACCAAGGCUAUGACGCGUAACUGGUCUGAGAGGAUGAUCAGUCACAUUGGAACUGAGACACGGUCCAAACUCCUACGGGAGGCAGCAGUAAGGAAUAUUGCGCAAUGGGGGAAACCCUGACGCAGCAACGCCGCGUGGAGGAGGACACUUGUCGGAGCGUAAACUCCUUUUAUCAGGAAAGAAUAAUGACGGUACCUGAUGAAUAAGCACCGGCUAACUCCGUG